CGUUCAUCCAGAGGGGAUGAGGGAACGGCCCUUUGACUCCCCGGCAACCGCCUGGCCAAACCAGGAACGGUGCCAACUCCGCCGUGGUCGAACGUCGGCCACGACAGAUGAAGA
rnacentral:ncRNA from 1 species